rnacentral:rRNA from 1 species
GACAACUCUAGAGAUAGAGCUUUCCCCUUCGGGGGACAAAGUGACAGGUGGUGCAUGGUUGUCGUCAGCUCGUGUCGUGAGAUGUUGGGUUAAGUCCCGCAACGAGCGCAACCCUUAAGCUUAGUUGCCAUCAUUAAGUUGGGCACUCUAAGUUGACUGCCGGUGACAAACCGGAGGAAGGUGGGGAUGACGUCAAAUCAUCAUGCCCCUUAUGAUUUGGGCUACACACGUGCUACAAUGGACAAUACAAAGGGCAGCGAAACCGUGAGGUCAAGCAAAUCCCAUA